UACGUAGGCAGCAAGCGUUGUUCGGAGUUACUGGGCGUAAAGGGUGCGUAGGCGGCUAUUUAAGUUUGGUGUGAAAUCUCCCGGCUCAACUGGGAGGGUGCGCCGAAUACUGAGUGGCUAGAGUGUGGGAGAGGAAAGUGGAAUUCCUGGUGUAGCGGUGAAAUGCGCAGAUAUCAGGAAGAACACCCGUGGCGAAGGCGGCUCUCUGGGACGGUACUGACGCUGAGACGCGAAAGCGUGGGGAGCGAACAGG
rnacentral:rRNA from 1 species